AGCUCCCAAUGACUAGGGGAAUCACUCCUAAAAACUGUAUAUGGCAACCUGCUCAGAUGUCACAUCCACUGUGCUAAUGUAGAGCAUUACUCUUCUUAACAGCUCAGAGUGUUUCUCCCUGCUGCCAAACAAUCAUGGCAGUGAACAAAGAUGCCAUUAUUUACCACUUUCCCAACUGUAAAGUCCCUAUGACAUGGCUUCCAGUUAAGUCUAUUGUGAUCUCUUCCACAGGGCAGAGAUGCUAAGAUCAGGAAAGAUCAUUUUAUCUCUUACACCUUUGCAAAGAUAAAAGUAAAACUGAGCUCAAGUAUUGACAGUUUGCCUUAAAUUCUCAUCUUUCACAUGAUAAAACAGAGAGAACUAGAAUAUUAGAAUUCAGAAUAGCAAUGAUGAAAAUGUGAUAUCCAUGAAGAAAAUGACAAAUCAAAUUAUAUCAUACCUGAAAAAAAAUAGAAUUUUGUUUUUAAGGGCAAAUAUGAUCUUUCUCCAGCAGGAUAUAAUUUUUGGCUCUUUUGUCCUAAACAAAUCACUAAGAAGCAACAGCAUUUCAUUAUUGCACAGAGCAAUUCCUGAAGAGAAGGAAAUGAUGGAUGUGCAGUACCAGGUAGUACCCUCGUGCAGGGGAGUAAGCCUCCCACAGGCUGGAGUCAGAAGGCUGUGCUGUCACCUGCGGACAUCUCCAGGGACAUCAGGAAGCAUGUCUGCAGUCCCAAGACAGUGUCUGAAACAUCACAGUGGCUCAGAAAAUAUUUGUUGUCCAGAGAGAGAAACAAGCGAAGUGGGAAACUACAGGUUCGAAAAUCUGCAAGUGUACAUGGACCAUUUCCUACUUCUCUCUACUCAGCAUGACCUGGAUGCCAGGCCUUUCUGGGUAUGUGACUUUAGACAACUUCUCGGAACCUGGUGUUUUGUUUUGUUUUUUCAUAGGGUUCUUGUAAGGAUUAAAUGA
rnacentral:lncRNA from 1 species